CCCUUAGAUGUUCUGGGCCGCACGCGCGCUACACUGAUGAACGCAACGAGACCACCUGUACCGAAAGGCAUGGGUAAACUUGUGAAAGUUCAUCGUGAUGGGGAUAGAUUAUUGCAAUUAUUAAUCUUCAACGAGGAAUUCCUAGUAAGCGCGAGUCAUCAGCUCGCGUUGAUUACGUCCCUGCCCUUUGUACACACCGCCCGUCGCUCCUGCCGAUUGAAUGGUCCGGUGAAAUCUUCGGAUUGCUGGAUAGGACUUCAUUGACCUAUCUGCGAGAAGUUGCUUGAACCUUAUCAUUUAGAGGAAGGAGAANUCGUAACA
rnacentral:rRNA from 1 species